GCGGAGGAUGGCCCAGAUUAAGAGAAUGGUGACGAGGACAAGGAAUAGGAAGAUGAGGAUGCAGGCGAAAAUCCGGCGGAUGAGUUUCCGGCGCUUGUGGCCGUGGCCUCCGCAGUCUUUGGCCGACAUGGCGGAAGUGAGAAGAAGGUGACAGCGACUGUGGUGGUGGUGUGGAAAUGAAGAGAAAGUUAAAGAGAGGCUUUGGUAUAUAUGGAGAGGAGAUGGGUGAGGGUGGAGCCCUCUGGUUUUGUGUGAGAGUGUGC
rnacentral:misc_RNA from 1 species